CCAUCGCUCCCUGUAUAAUAGUAUACGCGUCGGUCCAUGCUUGUUUUGUGUCCGCCGUGAAUUUGUCGCCAAGACUGGUCUCGAGUGUCCACAGAAGCGCUGAACCGACAUGCUAGAACGAACACGGUCGUGGAGAAUACACCCAACAGAGACAUUAGAAGUCCUUUCCAAAUGUCCCCGAACAACAGGCUGUAACAAGAUAAGGAGGACCUGGGGCAUUAGUAGUUAUACUUAUCGUCAAUCUUGCCUUGAGGGUAGAGGGAGAGAAGAGAAGAGCUACGUAAUAGUGCUAUAAGCCAUGUCCCUUCGCUGCUGACCGGCGGGACAAUGUAACAGUGCUUUUUAAAGUGGACCGUUGUUUUACCGUUGUGUUUACGCAGGUCAAAAAUAUGACUUGGACAAAAUACACACGAGUGGCUAUGCGUCCGUGUAGGGCUAUUACAAUCGUAACUUAACGAAUAUCCAAUACCCGAUCGUUUUAGUGUAUUUUGUGAAUGAGUAGAUGGGCGGGUGGCGCUGACGCUGAUGAAACUUGGGAAUAGUAAACAAACAAAACGUUUUCAAGGACUUUAUUUUUUUAGACCCUUUUCGCCCUAUAGCGGCGCUCGACGUCAAACCAAUGAUAAGGUCAUGAUGAAGACUGAAAACUUGCACUCAGACGAAACGACUUAUGUCUAUGUUGCAUCCCAAA